rnacentral:tRNA from 1 species
AUAGCUCAAUGCUAGAGCGCAUGCUUAGCAUGCACGAGGUCCUGGGUUCCAUCCCCAGU